CCUACGGGUGGCAGCAGUGAGGAAUAUUGGUCAAUGGACGAGAGUCUGAACCAGCCAAGUAGCGUGAAGGAUGACUGCCCUAUGGGUUGUAAACUUCUUUUAUCUGGGAAUAAAAUGUUCCACGUGUGGGAUUUUGUAUGUACCAUAUGAAUAAGGAUCGGCUAACUCCGUGCCAGCAGCCGCGGUAAUACGGAGGAUCCGAGCGUUAUCCGGAUUUAUUGGGUUUAAAGGGGUCGUAGGUGGAUUGUUAAGUCAGUUGUGAAAGUUUGCGGCUCAACCGUAAAAUUGCAGUUGAAACUGGCAGUCUUGAGUACAGUAGAGGUGGGCGGAAUGCGUGGUGUAGCGGUGAAAUGCUUAGAUAUCACGAAGAACUCCGAUUGCGAAGGCAGUUCACUGGACUGCAACUGACACUGAGGCUCGAAAGUGUGGGUAUCAAACAGGAUUAGAUACCCCUGUAGUC
rnacentral:rRNA from 1 species